rnacentral:rRNA from 1 species
ACACUAGGACUGAGACAUGGCCCAGACUCCUACGGGAGGCAGCAGUGGGGAAUUUUUCGCAAUGGGCGAAAGCCUGAUGGAGCAAUGUCGCAUGAAGGCAGAAGGCCCAUGGGUCAUGAACUUCUUUUAUCAGAGAAUAAACAAUGAUGGUAUCUGAGGAAUAAGCAUUGACUAACUCUAUGCCAGCAGCCGCGGUAAGAUAGAGGAUGCAAGCGUUAUCCAGAAUGAUUCAGCGUAAAGCGUCUGUAGGUGGCUUUUCAAGUCCGUCGUCAAAUCCCAGGGCUCAACCCUGGACAGGUGGUGGAAACUACCAAGCUAGAGUACGAUAGGGGCAGAGGGAAUUUUCAGUGGAGCAGUGAAAUGCAUUGAGAUCGGAAAGAACACCAAUAGUGAAAGCACUCUGCUGGGCCGACACUGACACUGAGAGACGAAAGCUAGGGGAGAAAAUGGGAUUAGAUACCCCAGUAGUCCUAGCUGUAAAUGAUGGAUACUAAGUGUUGUGUGUAUCGACCCACACAAUUUUGUAGCUAAUGUGUUAAGUAUCCCGCCUGGGGAGUACGUUCGCAAGAAUGAAACUCAAAGGAAUGACGAAGGCG